ACACAGGUGCUGCAUGGCUGUCGUCAGCUCGUGUCGUGAGAUGUUGGGUUAAGUCCCGCAACGAGCGCAACCCUUGUCAUUAGUUGCUACGAAAGGGCACUCUAAUGAGACUGCCGGUGACAAACCGGAGGAAGGUGGGGAUGACGUCAAGUCCUCAUGGCCCUUAUGGGUAGGGCUUCACACGUCAUACAAUGGUACAUACAGAGGGCCGCCAACCCGCGAGGGGGAGCUAAUCCCAGAAAGUGUAUCGUAGUCCGGAUUGGAGUCUGCAACUCGACUCCAUGAAGUUGGAAUCGCUAGUAAUCGCGGAUCAGCAUGUCGCGGUGAAUACGUUCCCGGGUCUUGUACAC
rnacentral:rRNA from 1 species